rnacentral:rRNA from 1 species
UACGUAGGGGGCAAGCGUUGUCCGGAAUCAUUGGGCGUAAAGCGCGUGUAGGCGGCCCGAUAAGUCCGCUGUGAAAGUCGGGGGGCUCAACCCUCGAAUGCCGGUGGAUACUGUCGGGCUAGAGUGCGGAAGAGGCGGGUGGAAUUCCUGGUGUAGCGGUGAAAUGCGCAGAUAUCAGGAGGAACACCAAUUGCGAAGGCAGCUCGCUGGGACGUGACUGACGCUGAGACGCGAAAGCGUGGGGGAGCAAACAGG